rnacentral:rRNA from 1 species
GAGGAAUUUUCCGCAAUGGGCGAAAGCCUGACGGAGCAAUACCGCGUGGAGGAUGAAGGUUCAUGGAUUGUAAACUCCUUUUCUUAGACAAGAAAUCAAUGACGGUAUCUAAGGAAUAAGCAUCGGCUAACUCCGUGCCAGCAGCCGCGGUAAGACGGGGGAUGCAAGCGUUAUUCGGAAUUAUUGGGCGUAAAGCGUCUGUAGGUGGCUAAAUAAGUCUGGUGUUAAAUACUGAAGCUCAACUUCAGACCUGCAUCAGAAACUAUUUAGCUUGAGUACGUUAGAGGCAGGGGGAAUUCCCAGUGUAGCGGUGAAAUGCGUAGAUAUUGGGAGGAACACCAACGGCGAAGGCACCCUGCUGGGCCGAUACUGACACUCAAGGACGAAAGCUAGGGGAGCGAAUGGG